rnacentral:ncRNA from 1 species
AAUUAAAUUUGGUUUAAUAAUAAAAAAUUAUAUAUUUUUUAUGAACUUUAUAAAAAAUUUUACAGCAGAAAAUAAAAUUUAUUUAAUAAUAAAAAAUUAUUGAAAUUUAUAAUAAAUCUUAGCUAAUUUUGUGCCAGCAGCAGCGGUUAAACAAAAAAGAUUUUUUUUUAUUCUAUUAAUGUAAAAUUAAUCUUUAGGGAAAAAAUUAAUAAUUAAAAAAGGUGAAAUUUUUUAGUUAGUUUAAUAAAACAUUUAAAUAAAAACUCCAUUUUUAAAAACUAGGAUUAGAUACCCUAUUAUUAGGAAUAGUUCAUUGUUAGUAAAUAUUAAAUACGAAAACAAAAAAUUAUGGCGGUAUCUUAAGCUUUUCAGAGGAAUUUGCUCUUUUAUGGAUAAAACACCUAAAUCUUACUAAAAUUAGCAAGUUCAGUUUGUAUACCACUAUAAAAGUAAUAAUUAGUUAUUAUUACUUAAACUUUUAAUUUAAAAAGAAAAUUAAGUCAAGGUGCAGCAAAAAUUUUAGGAUGAAGUGAAUUACAAUGCUUUUUAGAAAAAAAAAUUGAAAUUUAAUUUUAGGAUUUGAAAGUAAAAAUUUAAUAAAAUGAUUUUUUGAAUUAAGUUCUGAGAUAUGUACAUAUCGCCCGUCGCUCUUUUUCUAAAGAUAAGUCGUAACAAAGUUAAAGUACUGGAAAGUGCUUUA